AUUAAUUAAAUGUGUUGAACUGAAUGAUUAAGUAAAUGGGUGGCAGCUGGUGGGAGCCAGGUUUCUCACUGUUGUAAUGGGAGUUUACAGAUAAGCAAGGGGGGAAGGCUAGAAUGAUCCAUGUGGCAAUUGAUUAAAGUUGAAGACAUCAGGAUGAAUUCAUGUUUAGCUUAAUACAAUCUACACAGUCAAAGGCUUUACUAUAGUCUGUAAAACAUAGACUAGCUUCUUCUGAAAUUCUUUGGAGCACUCCAGUAGCCAACGAACAACCCCAAGGAGAUCUUGUGUGCCUCUUCUUUCAAAAUCCAGCUUGGCUAUCAGGCAUUCUCGCUCCCCAUAAGGUAAAAGCCUUUACUGUAGCACCUUGAGCAUUUGCAUGGGACAUUAGAGCAAAGGUCCUAUGGUCACUGCGCUCUUUGGCGUCUCCUUUUUUGGGGAUUGGGAUAUAUGUUGCACGUUUCCAGUCUAUUGGUCAUUUUUUUUUGUUUUCCAUGUUUGUUGGCAUGUUCUUGUUAGGAUUUUGACAAAUUCAGUCUCUGUGUCUUGAAAUAAUUCUAUCAAUAUCUAACCUAACACUGGUGACUUUUUUCUUCCCAGUACUUUCAGGGCAGCUUCCACUUCACGAUCUAAAAUUACAGGUUCUUCCUCAUAGGAAUCGUCUACAAAGGCAUCCAUCAUCCUUUUGUCUCUUCUGUGUAGAUCUUCAGUGCACUGUUUCUACCUUCCCUUUGUCUUCUCCUGAUCAGAGAGUGUGCUUCCCUGUUGGUCCUUCAGCAUUCCUAAUCUAGGUCUAAAUUUCCCUUCGAUUUCUCGAAUCUUCAGGAAGAGACCUCUUGUUCUUCCUUUUUCUUUGUUCUCUUCCAUCUCUUUGCAUUGGCCAUUAUAGUAGUUCUCUUUAUCUCUGUAUGACAUCACUGGGAGACUGCGCUCAGGAUUCUAACCCUACUUUCAUCACCUUUUACUGUUGCUUCUUGCCUGUCCUUAACAAUUCUGUGUGUCUC
rnacentral:lncRNA from 1 species